rnacentral:rRNA from 1 species
CUCCCUCGUUGCUGAUCUCAGGUUCGAUAAUGCCAAUAAUCGCACCACCUCGCCUAAAAACCAACUUCGAUGAAGCGACGGGCGGUGUGUG